rnacentral:rRNA from 1 species
UACAGAGGGUGCGAGCGUUGUUCGGAAUUAUUGGGCGUAAAGGGCGCGUAGGCGGUGCGGUAAGUCACCUGUGAAAUCUCCUGGCUCAACUGGGAGCUUGCAGGCGAAACUGCCGUGCUGGAGUGUGGGAGAGGUGCGUGGAAUUCCUGGUGUAGCGGUGAAAUGCGUAGAUAUCUGGAGGAACACCGGUGGCGAAGGCGGCAUCCUGGACCGACACUGACGCUGAGGAGCGAAAGCCAGGGGAGCAAACGGG